UACAGAGGGUGCGAGCGUUAAUCGGGAUUACUGGGCGUAAAGCGUGCGUAGACGGUUUCGUAAGUCGGGUGUGAAAUCCCCGGGCUCAACCUGGGAAUUGCAUUCGAAACUGCGAGGCUAGGGUACGGAAGAGGGAAGCGGAAUUUCUGGUGUAGCGGUGAAAUGCGUAGAUAUCAGAAGGAACAUCAGUGGCGAAAGCGGCUUCCUGGUCCAGUACCGACGUUCAGGCACGAAAGCGUGGGGAGCAAACAGG
rnacentral:rRNA from 1 species